rnacentral:tRNA from 1 species
CAGAUAUUAGUUUAAAAGAAUAUUAAUUUUGGAGAUUAGUGGUAAGGUUAGCCUUAUAUCUGA